UACAAUAUUUUUUUCGGAUAAUAAUAUACGUGACAAUUAAUUUACAUAGGAAAUAAAAGUUUAAAUUUGUGGGCGAUUGUAACUAGGGGUGAGCAAAAUUGUUGGGUACCCAGUUUUGGACUCGAAAUUGGUUAGGACCCGCCGGGUCCAGAAUUGGAACUGGUGCAACCGGUUCUGGGUCCGGGUCCAAAAAUCAGGAACCGGUUAUAACUGGUUCCAGUUCCAGUUCUUGAUUUUACGGACCCGGUACUGGUUGCAUUGCUUUAAAAAUAUGUUAUUCGUGGCCUGCUCUGAAUAUAUGGGGCAUAAUUAUCUAUUGGGCCUUAUAAUUUCCUAGCCCACACUUUAUUUCUAACCUAAUUAGUCACCAUAUAUUUAAGGAGUACUUUUUUUUUUAACUCAUGUUUUUUUCAUUUCAUCACCCACCAAAAACCACUCAUAAUUUCUACUUUCAUCCGUCAAACAUCAAACUCCAAUUUGAUGAUUAUUUCACCCAACUUAAAUUAAUCACUCCAUUCUUAUCUUUUUCCCAAAUUCUUGUAUCUAAAUCCACUUUUUUCCAUCCUUAAUUUUUAUUUGUACAAUAGAAAGAGGUAAAAGAUGAAGGUGGUGAAGAAGAGGCCGAAAACAGAUGAAGAUUAAAGAUAAAUCAAGCUUACAUACUCUAUUAUUCUGAGUUUUAGGGAUGAUUUGUGUAAUUUCAGGCUAAUAAAUUUAUGAAAAAGCCAUGAUUAUGUAAUACAACCCGAGUUUGCUACUGAACUACAUUCAUCACCCAAACAGGAUCAUCAACCAAAGCCGCGGCAAAACCACCCAAGUACGCGUUCAUGUCUAGUAGGUUCCGGGGUUACUCCAUUAAGUGAUCCACUGUUAAUUCUUGGUGGGAUUGCUGUCAAUCUUGUAGGCCAUUUUGCUAAUUGUCCUCCUG